rnacentral:rRNA from 1 species
AAAACAUCUUUUCUUGUUAGUUUUUGAAGUAUGGCCUGCCCGCUGACAUUUGGUGUUGAAGGGCCGCGGUAUUUUGACCGUGCAAAGGUAGCAUAAUCAUUAGUUCUUUAAUUGUGAUCUGGAAUGAAUGGCUUGACGAGGCACGGGCUGUCUUAGUGUUGAAUGUUUUAUUGAAUUUGGUCUUUGAGUUAAAAUUCUUAGAUGUUUUUGUGGGACGAGAAGACCCUAUAGAGUUUGACAUUUGGUUUAUUUACUUGUUUGUUGUUUGUUUAUUUUUGGUGAGUGGGCUUUUUGUUUUGUUGGGGUGAUGGGAGGAAUGUACUUAACUCCUCUUAGUUUUGGUUAUAUUGAUUUAUAAUUAUUUGAUCCAUUUAUUUUGAUUGUAAGACUAAAUUACCUUAGGGAUAACAGCGU